AUUGAACGCUGGCGGCAGGCCUAACACAUGCAAGUCGAACGAGUGGCGGACGGGUGAGUAAUGUCUGGGACACUGCCUGAUGGGGGGGGAUAAAUACGGGAAGGGGUCGAAAAUACCGCAUACUAUCAGAUGUGCCCAGGUGGGAUUAGCUUGUUGGUGGGGUAACGGCUCACAAAGGCGACGAUCCCUAGCUGGUCUGAGAGGAUGACCAGCCACACUGGAACUGAGACACGGUCCAGACUCCUACGGGAGGCAGCAGUGGGGAAUAUUGCACAAUGGGCGCAAGCCUGAUGCAGCCAUGCCGCGUGUAUGAAGAAGGCCUUCGGGUUGUAAAGUACUUUCAGCGGGGAGGCGUUACCCGCAGAAGAAGCACCGGCUAACUCCGUGCCAGCAGCCGCGGUAAUUC
rnacentral:rRNA from 1 species